rnacentral:rRNA from 1 species
UGGGGAAUAUUGCACGAUGGGCGAAAGCCUGAUGCAGCGACGCCGCGUGAGGGAUGACGGCCUUCGGGUUGUAAACCUCUUUCAGCAGGGAAGAAGCGAAAGUGACGGUACCUGCAGAAGAAGCGCCGGCUAACUACGUGCCAGCAGCCGCGGUAAUACGUAGGGCGCAAGCGUUGUCCGGAAUUAUUGGGCGCAAAGAGCUCGUAGGCGGUUAGUCGCGUCUGCUGUGAAAACUCGAGGCUCAACCUCGGGCUUGCAGUGGGUACGGGCUGACUAGAGUGCGGUAGGGGUGACUGGAACUCCUGGUGUAGCGGUGGAAUGCGCAGAUAUCAGGAGGAACACCGAUGGCGAAGGCAGGUCACUGGGCCGCAACUGACGCUGAGGAGCGAAAGCAUGGGGAGCGAACAGGAUUAGAUAGCCCUGGUAGUCCAUGCCGUAAACGUUGGGCACUAGGUGUGGGGUCCAUUCCACGGAUUCCGUGCCGCAGCAAAGCGCAUUAAGUG